ACGAACCGUACGAACGUUAUUCGGAAUCACUGGGCUUAAAGAGUUCGUAGGCGGCUAUGUAGGUGGGAUGUGAAAGCCCUCGUCUCAACCGAGGAACUGCGUUCCAAACCACAUAGCUUGAGGAGGAUAGAGGUGAGCGGAACUGAUGGUGGAGCGGUGAAAUGCGUUGAUAUCAUCAGGAACACCAGAGGCGAAGGCGGCUCACUGGGUCCUUUCUGACGCUGAGGAACGAAAGCUAGGGGAGCAAACGGG
rnacentral:rRNA from 1 species